rnacentral:rRNA from 1 species
ACGGGGUGCAGCAGGCGCGAAAUCUUCACAAUGUGCGAAAGCACGAUGAGGGAAUCCCAAGUGCUAGCACGUAAGUGUUAGCUGUUUCUUAGUCUAAAAAACUGGGAGAGUAAGAGCUGGGUAAGACGGGUGCCAGCCGCCGCGGUAAUACCUGCAGCUCAAGUGGUGGCCGCUAUUAUUGGGCCUAAAACGUCCGUAGCCUGUUUAGUAAAUGCUUGGGUAAAUUGUGUAGCUUAACUAUACGAAUACCGGGUAGACUGCUAAACUUGGGACCGGGAGAGGCUAGAGGUACUCCUAGGGUAGAGGUGAAAUUCUGUAAUCCUAGGGGGACCACCAGUGGCGAAGGCGUCUAGCUAGAACGGGUCUGACGGUGAGGGACGAAGCCCUGGGGCGCGAACCGGAUUAGAUACCCGGGUAGUCCAGGGUGUAAACGCUGCUUGCUUGAUGUUAGUUGGGCUCCGAGCCCAACUAGUGUCGGAGAGAAGUUGUUAAGCAAGCUGCCUGGAAGUACGUCGCAAGAC